CCUACGGGAGGCUGCAGUGAGGAAUAUUUGUCAAUGGACGAGAGUCUGAACCAGCCAAGUAGCGUGAAGGAUGACUGCCCUAUGGGUUGUAAACUUCUUUUAUAUGGGAAUAAAACGUUCCACGUGUGGGCUUUUGUAUGUACCAUAUGAAUAAGGAUCGGCUAACUCCGUUCCAGCCGCCGCGGUAAUACGGAGGAGCCGAGCGUUAUCCGGAUUUAUUUGGUUUAAAGGGAGCGUAGGUGGAUUGUUAAGUCAGUUGGGAAAGUUUGCGGCUCAACCGUAAAAUUGCAGUUGAAACUGGCAGUCUUGAGUACAGUAGAGGUGGGCGGAAUGCGUGGUGUAGCGGUGAAAUGCUUAGAUAUCACGAAGAACUCCGAUUGCGAAGGCAGUUCACUGGACUGCAACUGACACUGAGGCUCGAAAGUGUGGGUAUCAAACAGGAUUAGAUACCCGGGUAGUC
rnacentral:rRNA from 1 species